CCCUUCUGGCUUUGGCAGCCUCAGCUGCAGGACACAAACAAUCUAGGGCUGCUGGGCUGGAGCUGCCGGGGCCAGGAGGAAGGUGGGGAUGGGGGCAUGGCCUGGAGGGGCAGCUCCUGGGGGCACUCACCGUGGAAGGGCUCUGGCAGAGCUGUUCUGUAGCAUCAGUGACACCUGGCAACUGCAUUCGCCAACCCGGUUCCUGAAGAAUUCCAAAGAUCAAUAAAGAUCAAGAGGCCCUCUGGGCAAAGGGCCUGUUCAGUGUGGACUUGAUCACAGGCUGCUGGCCAGCGGGGAAGAUGGAAGUCGCCGGCUUGACUGAGACAUUCACCCCAGCCUUAGAUUUAGGGCAGGACCCUCUCACUGUGUGGUCACCCUUUAUUUUCUCAGCUCUUAUUUAAAAAGAAGAAGAAAAAAAGAAUGUCUGGACAACAGCUAAGGCAGGCAUCCAGAAAUAGGAACACUUUUCUAACACAGCCCAGAUGCAAACAUCAGGAGCAGACACUGCCCAGAUGGCGGCUUUACCCCAGCUGGACUCCUCUGAGGCUUUGGUGGUGGACAGCCCUGUGCCGCAAGCUGGAGUAAGCCGAUUCUCCCCAUGGGGGAAGCAGCAUUCCCUGUUCCUGCCUCUCUGCAAUCUCAGCGAGUCCCCAGCCUUACAGAGCUUCAUGCAGAUGGGCUCAAAUUCCUAGAUGCUACGGGAACGUCACCAACUCCAGCGCACUCCCCUUUAAGCCUGUGGCAGUCUCCUCUUCAACCCCACCUUCUCUGGGUUCUUCCCACAGCCCCUGUUUCCUGGGGGUUUGGCAAAGCCAAGUCACCCUGUGGGUCUCAGCCAUUGGGGACUAAAAGCCUAUCUGCCUCUCCCUCCCCUGGGAGCUCAGAAGUAUGCAUGAAAGGGUGGCCUGGGAGCUGCCUCCCACCUGGCAGCUCACUGGUUCCACCUGCAGCUGUGGAGGGGAUCCUGGCCUCAGGCAAGUCUGCCUCCGUCUGAAGCCCCACUUCCUCAUCGGUCUCUACGGGGAGUCGUGGUAUCAUCACAGGACUUUGGGUAGUUUUAAAGAGAUAAUAGGUAAAAAUACUUUGUACAACCAUUCAUUAUCAAUGAGAACAUUUGUACGAGCCUAGCAUGAGAACUGACUCACAUCUAUCCACUUGGGCUCAAUUACUCAAUGGGUUUAUCAGCAGUCAAAGAACCAAUGGAGUCUGGGCUUCACCCAAGGAUUAUGGACUCAUUUUUAUAGGACCUGAGGCAAAUACUAUUAGGAAUACAAAUGCGUUGCUUAAAAA
rnacentral:lncRNA from 1 species